rnacentral:tRNA from 1 species
GGCCUAUUAGCUCAGCUGGUCAGAGCGUGGUGCUAAUACACAGGUUCGAAACCUGCAUGGGCCA